CCUACGGGAGGCAGCAGUGAGGAAUAUUGGUCAAUGGCCGGAAGGCUGAACCAGCCAUGCCGCGUGAAGGUCAGUGCCCUAUGGGCGUUAAACUUCUUUUGUGCGGGAGCAAUAAUGGUCACGUGUGGCCAGACGAGAGUACCGUACGAAUAAGCAUCGGCUACCUCGGUGCAAGCAGCCGCCGUAAUACGGGGGAUGCAAGCGUUAUCCGGAUUUAUUGGGUUUAAAGGGUGCGUAGGCUGUGAGGUAAGUCAGCGGUGAAAUGCCCCGGCUCAACGGGGUGAAGGGCCAUUGAUACUGCCUUGCUGGAAUGCGGAUGCGGUUGGAGGAAUGUGUGGUGUAGCGGUGAAAUGCAUAGAUAUCACACAGAACACCGAUUGCGAAGGCAUCUCACGAAUCCGCGAUUGACGCUGAUGCACGAAAGCGUGGGUAUCAAACAGGAUUAGAUACCCUAGUAGUC
rnacentral:rRNA from 1 species